rnacentral:rRNA from 1 species
AUUGAACGCUGGCGGCAGGCCUAACACAUGCAAGUCGAACGAGUGGCGGACGGGUGAGUAAUGUCUGGGAAACUGCCCGAUGGAGGGGGAUAACUACUGGAAACGGUAGCUAAUACAGCAUACCAUCGGAUGUGCCCAGAUGGGAUUAGCUAGUAGGUGGGGUACCGGCUCACCUAGGCGAGGAUCCCUAGCUGGUCUGAGAGGAUGACCAGCCACACUGGAACUGAGACACGGUCCAGACUCCUACGGGAGGCAGCAGUGGGUAAUAUUGCACAAUGGGCGCAAGCCGUAUGCAGCCAUGCCGCGUGUAUGACGAAGGCCUUCGGGUUGUAAAGUACUUUCAGCGGUGAGGCGUUACCCGCAGAAGAAGCACCGGCUAACUCCGUGCCAGCAGCCGCGGUAAUAC